GAACGUGGGGAACCGUGCCCCAUAGUCUGGGAUACCACUUGGAAACAGGUGCUAAUACCGGAUAAGAAAGCGGAUCGCAUGAUCAGCUUUUAAAAGGCGGCGUAAGCUGUCGCUAUGGGAUGGCCCCGCGGUGCAUUAGCUAGUUGGUAAGGUAAAGGCUUACCAAGGCGAUGAUGCAUAGCCGAGUUGAGAGACUGAUCGGCCACAUUGGGACUGAGACACGGCCCAAACUCCUACGGGAGGCAGCAGCG
rnacentral:rRNA from 1 species